rnacentral:rRNA from 1 species
ACGGAAGGCAGCAGUGAGGAAUAUUGGUCAAUGGGCGGAAGCCUGAACCAGCCAAGUCGCGUGAAGGAUGAAGGUAUUAUGUAUUGUAAACUUCUUUAGCAGUGGAGUAAUAAGGGAGUCGUGACUCCUGAUGCAAGUACACUGAAAAUAAGGAUCGGCUAACUCCGUGCCAGCAGCCGCGGUAAUACGGAGGAUCCGAGCGUUAUCCGGAUUUAUUGGGCUUAAAGGGUGCGCAGGCGGCCUUGUAAGUCAGCGGUUAAAUCGUGGAGCUCAACUCCAUCCCGCCGUUGAUACUGCAGGGCUUGAUUGCGGUCGAGGUUGGCGGAAUUCGUCGUGUAGCGGUGAAAUGCAUAGAUAUGACGAAGAACACCGAUUGCGUAGGCAGCUGACCAGGCCGUAAAUGACGCUCAUGCACGAAAGUGCGGGGAUCGAACAGGAUUAGAUACCCUGGUA